UAAUUAGUUUUCUAGGGUUCCGCAAUUAUUAUUGGACUGGACCAAGAGAAAACGCAGGGGAAUCUUCCCUUGUUCACGGAAGGAUAAAAGCCUGGUAAAA
rnacentral:sRNA from 2 species